AUGGAAGCUAAUAAUGGAAUAUUAGUUCACAUGGAAACUGAUUCGGAAACAAAUCCUUCUGUAUCAAUUUUCUAUCCUCAAGUAAUUGGUGAGCUCACUCCCUUCCAAGGUCAACAAUUUGAAACAUUAGAAGAAGUGUAUGACUUUUACAAUCAGUAUGCAAGGGAAGCUGGGUUUAGUGUUCGAUCAUACUCUAGUAAGAAGAGUAAAGACGUAGAGGUCAUACGAAAAGAGUACGUUUGCAAUAAAGAGGGAAGUUGGUCAACUGAAACAAACGGUGUUGUAAAAAGGCGUCGUGGAGUAGGUAGAGAGUCUUGUAAGGCACGGCUAAUAGUUGUUAAAUCAAAAUAUGGUGGAUACGUAGUCACCAUAUUUGAAGAGGCUCAUACUCAUCCAAUGACAACCCCACGAAGACGCCACUUAUUAAAGUCUCAUCGUCGAAUUUCUAGUGUUGAUCAACUUGUAGCACAACAACUAAUAUCCGUAAAUG
rnacentral:lncRNA from 1 species